GUUCAUUUUAUUAUACUGCAUUUAGAUACAUUAUGUAACAACCUUUACAAUAAACAUUUUCAAUCUAUGAACAUGUGUUGAAGUUUAUUGUAUGUUUGUUGGUUUGUCCAAAAAAAUAUCAAUACAAAUAUUACUUAAUUUGAUUGUGACUAACACGUAUUUUAUAAUAUUCGAUUUCAAAAAAAAGCAAUUAGUUUUUUGAAUGUAUAAAUACUUAGCAACAUACAUCUCACUAAUUUAUCCAAACGUUUUGUCAACAUGGUGCACAUUCAACUCUGUGUGUUUUUCCUGAUCGUAGGGCUGUGCUCUACUGUUGAUGGGUUCUGUUUUCUGCAGAAAACAACAGGUAAACUUUAAUUAUUCAUUUACCGAGUGUUCAUUUUCCAUUUUUCUUUUCCGUUUACCUGUUAAAACUGUUAAAACUUGUAAUUGUUGUACAACUCAUAUGUCACAUGAAUACUAAGGACAUUAAUUUAAUUUAAAUUUAAUUAAUUUCGCCAAUUAAAUAUAUACCUCUCUACAAGCACGAUUAUUCUUUAAAAGAAGCAACGUGUAUUUCACCAAACUUUCUUACGGACGCAGCUAAUCUCAUUCAUCAUAACAGUUUCAGUAUACCGGAUUUAAUAUGAUAACGGUCAAUUCAUCAAUUUUAUAUAAAUAUUAUAAAAGUGUUCUUCGUGUAGAUAAAUAAGAGUCCUGCAUUUGUUUUCUUUAAUAAUUAUUUUGAAAAUAAGAUUCUAACUUAACUUAUCACAAUCACGAUGCCACUUUCUUAUUGCAGAAUAAAUGAUUCAAAUUAUUUUUUUUUUAAUUGCAUUUUUUAUUUUCAAUGUAUCGGUAUAUGUCGGUUCAGUAUACGAUUUCAAAUGAUUCCUCGAGUAUUAUUAUAUGGUUAAAAUUCAUAACGGGUAGUAGAGUAAUUGAGUUGAACGUCACAGCAAUUGAUCAGAAAUGAUAGUCACAUUACUAUAUAUUAUGAUUUGAACAUCAACAUAUAUCCAAGAAUUACCUUCCAAGGUUAAAGUGCAGCUGAUAUUGGAAAUUAUUGGCAAUCGUACGGCCUUCUAAAAUGAGAAAAAAAACAUACAGUAUUAUCAGCUAUAACAGACACCAACAAACUACAAUCACUGAACUACAGGCUCCGAAUUGGUACGGUAGUUAAUUAAUUUAAAAGUUCUUAUAAAGAAUUUUCAGUGCAACGUUUUUUCAAUAUUUAUAGCUAUUGCUAUAAUUUCUAUCUUGAAAAUAAUUUAGGAUUAUUUGUUAGACGAUUUUUCAAUUAAACAUGGGGAAUGGUGAUAUACAGUGUUGAAAAAUAUUAAGAUUUGUUUAAAAUGACUUCAGAGAAAUAUUGAGUUUAAAAAACGAGGCAAAAGAUUUGGACCAACUUUCUGAAAUUUGGGUUUUACAUGCAUUUCAACUUCGUUAUUUGAGUUAGGCUUUAAUAUUACUUUGAGAUGAAUACUUUGUUUAUAAUGAUUGUAACAGUAAUUUGAUCAGUCGGGUUUUUUUCUUUUCUUUAGACUGUGUCUACAAAGGAAGAAUAAUAAAACAUAAAACCGAUUAUGAAUCUAUCAAAGAAUGCAUCAAAUGUAGCUGUUCGAAAGGAUCACUACAAUGCUGCUCGUAAGUUUUUUUUUUUCUAUGUAUCAUAUUGGUUUCAUUUUGACUAUAAUCAAUGAUACUUUGUAUAUGCGCUUUUCUGAUGUACUUAUUUGAUCUAAUUUUGUAAUGUCGAUUGAUUUCCGCGUAUAUGAUUUCGGAGUAUUUUCAAAAAUAUCAAACCUUAAAAAUGACUGACUUAAAACAUUCAUUUUCAUUUUCGAUUAACAUCUUUUUAAGAGCUAUAUUGUGGGAUAAAUGAAAUGUGGUAUUCAAUGUAAUUCUUUGGAUACCAAUUUUUAUGGGUUUCAUGGGUACAGGUGAACCACGAAUUUUAAUAAUAUAUUUUCAAUAUGAUAUUUUUGUCACACUGGUUUCAUUCAUGCUACUGUAUUUUACUACUGUGUAACACUAGAAUAGUUUAUUUCUCAUAAACCAUGUGUAACCAUAUAUUACAGAGAAGUUAAAAGCAUGCAUACAAAAUAUAAAUGAAUACAUAAAUAAAUAUAGUAAAAUAAAAAAAUACAAGAAUACAAAACAAGUAAAUAUAACUGUUUAAAGAAAUAGUUUAAGUGUUCAAAUAUGUUGAAAUUAUUGUAUUCUUCUGUUAUAUAUACUUUCUGUUGUACUUGUAUUUUUCAACAAUUUGUUUUUGAGCAUUUAAGAUCCCGGUAUUUUUUGAAAUAUCAAACUUAAGGAUUUAAUAUACAUUUGUUUUUUUUUUCAUUCAUUAUAUAUUUCCAGCUCAAUUCCACCCAUGUAUCAUUUCAUCACUAAUACAAUCACUAUAUGCACGAUAUACUUAACCAUCAAAUUAUUUUCACAUGUAAAACACUAGACAUUCUGUUUCAGGAUUGGCGGAUACAUCACAAUUCAUUCUGAUGAUUGUAAAAUUGUAUCUGACGGACCUUGUAAACAAAAGGCUGUCCUUACUGCUGAUGAAACAAAGCCUUGUCCACAAUUCUCCAUGGUUGGACGUUAAAUUCUAAUAAAACUACAUAUUUACUGAAUGAUGUCUGUAAAACUUCUACUAUUUUAAUCAAUAAAGAGCCACACACCUUUAGAUGGUUAUAUAUGUUAUUUUUGUAGGCAGUUUGUCCUUUUUGCAUAA
rnacentral:lncRNA from 1 species